AGGUGGGAGGCUUUGAAACCAGGACGCCAGUUUUGGCGGAGCCAUCCUUGGGAUACCACCCUUGUAGUACUGGGACUCUAACCAUAGGCCAUGAAUCUGGUCUUGGGACACUGUCAGGUGGGCAGUUUGACUGGGGCGGUCGCCUCCCAAAAGGUAACGGAGGCGCUCAAAGGUUCUCUCAGUACGGUCGGAAAUCGUACGUAGAGUGUAAAGGCAAAAGAGAGCUUGAUUGCAAGACAUACAGGUCGAGCAAGGAUGAAAAUCGGACUUAGUGAUCCGGUGGUUCUGCGUGGAAGGGCCAUCGCUCAACGGAUAAAAGCUACCCUGGGGAUAACAGGCUUAUCUCCCCCAAGAGUCCACAUCGACGGGGAGGUUUGGCACCUCGAUGUCGGCUCAUCACAUCCUGGGGCUGUAGUAGGUCCCAAGGGUUGGGCUGUUCGCCCAUUAAAGUGGUACGCGAGCUGGGUUCAGAACGUCGUGAGACAGUUCGGUCCCUAUCCGUCGCAGGCGUAGGAAAUUUGAGAAGACCUGUCCUUAGUACGAGAGGACCGGGAUGGACGUACCUCUGGUGUACCAGUUGUUCUGCCAAGGGCAUGGCUGGGUAGCUAUGUACGGAAUGGAUAAGCGCUGAAAGCAUCUAAGCGC
rnacentral:rRNA from 1 species